GAUGAACGCUAGCUACAGGCUUAACACAUGCAAGUCGAGGGGAAACGGCAUUAAGUGCUUGCACUUUUUGGACGUCGACCGGCGCACGGGUGAGUAACGCGUAUCCAACCUUCCCAUGACUAGGGAUAACCUGCCGAAAGGCAGACUAAUACCUUAUGGUCUUCACUGACGGCAUCAGAUGUGAAGUAAAGAUUUAUCGGUUAUGGAUGGGGAUGCGUCUGAUUAGCUUGUUGGCGGGGUAACGGCCCACCAAGGCAACGAUCAGUAGGGGUUCUGAGAGGAAGGUCCCCCACAUUGGAACUGAGACACGGUCCAAACUCCUACGGGAGGCAGCAGUGAGGAAUAUUGGUCAAUGGGCGAGAGCCUGAACCAGCCAAGUAGCGUGCAGGAUGACGGCCCUAUGGGUUGUAAACUGCUUUUGUAUGGGGAUAAAGUCAAUCACGUGUGAUUGUUUGCAGGUACCAUACGAAUAAGGACCGGCUAAUUCCGUG
rnacentral:rRNA from 1 species